rnacentral:rRNA from 1 species
UACGUAGGCAGCAAGCGUUGUUCGGAGUUACUGGGCGUAAAGGGUGUGUAGGCGGUUCUUUAAGUUUGGUGUGAAAUCUCCCGGCUUAACCGGGAGGGUGCGCCGAAUACUGAGGGACUAGAGUACGGGAGAGGAAAGUGGAAUUCCUGGUGUAGCGGUGAAAUGCGUAGAUAUCAGGAGGAACACCGGUGGUGUAGACGGCUUUCUGGACCGUAACUGACGCUGAGGCGCGAAAGCUAGGGGAGCAAACAGG